rnacentral:rRNA from 1 species
CGGCCCACCAAGGUGACGAUCAGUAGCCGACCUGAGAGGGUGAUCGGCCACAUUGGAACUGAGACACGGUCCAAACUUCUACGGAAGGCAGCAGUAAGGAAUCUUGCACAAUGGGGGAAACCCUGAUGCAGCAACGCCGCGUGAACGAUGAAGGCCUUCGGGUUGUAAAGUUCUGAUCUUGGGGAAGAAGAAAGUGACGGUACCCAAGGAGAAAGCCCCGGCUAACUACGUGCCAGCAGCCGCGGUAAUACGUAGGGGGCAAGCGUUAUCCGGAAUUAUUGGGCGUAAAGCGUGCGUAGGUGGUUACCUAAGCGCAAGGUUUAAUCUUGAGGCUCAACCUCAUUCUGCCUUGCGAACUGGGCUACUUGAGUGCAGGAGGGGAAAGCGGAAUUCCUAGUGUAGCGGUGAAAUGCGUAGAUAUUAGGAAGAACACCAGAGGCGAAGGCGGCUUUCUGGACUGUAACUGACACUGAGGCACGAAAGCGUGGGGAGCAAACAGGAUUAGAUACCCCUGGUAGUCCCACGCCCGUAAACGAUGAGCACUAGUUGUUGGGUCCGAAUGGAUUCAGUGACGCAGUUAACGCAAUAAGUGCUCCUGCCUGGGGAGUACGUUCGCAAGAAUAAAACUCAAAGGAAUUGACGGGGACCCGCACAAGCAGCGGAGCAUGUGGUUUAAUUCGAAGCAACGCGAAAAACCUUACCAGGGCUUGACAUCCCUCUGACAGGACCUUAACCGGUCCCUCCUUCGGGCAGAGGUGACAGGUGGUGCAUGGUUGUCGUCAGCUCGUGUCGUGAGAUGUUGGGUUAAGUCCCGCAACGAGCGCAACCCUUGUCGUCAGUUACUAACAUUCAGUUGAGGACUCUGGCGAGACUGCCGAGGUUAACUCGGAGGAAGGUGGGGAUGACGUCAAAUCAUCAUGCCCCUUAUGUUCUGGGCUACACACGUGCUACAAUGGUCGGUACAAUGAGAAGCAAAACGGCGACGUGGAGCAAAUCACCAAAACCGAUCCCAGUUCGGAUUGCAGGCUGCAACUCGCCUGCAUGAAGUCGGAGUUGCUAGUAAUCGCGAAUCAGCAUGUCGCGGUGAAUGCGUUCCCGGGUCUUGUACACACCGCCCGUCACACCAUGGAAGUUGGGGGUGCCCAAAGUUGGCAAAUAAUCUGUUACCUAAG